AACAAACAAACAUGUAUAGCAUUCCAUUAGCCUUAAAGUGCUCUAUAAGUGCCAGUGUGGCUUGGAUUGUGGGCUUAGAGCUCUGACUCCUGGACUACUUUGUGGGCUCAUUUUGAAAAUGAAGAAACUGAGACCAACAGAAUUAAGUGAUUCACCCAGAGCCACCCAACUGAUGAGAAAAUUGUCCAGUGUCACACAGUAAAUGCCUGAAGUUGAAUUUAUACUCAAGUUGUCCUGGUUCCAGGUCCAGCAUUCUAUCCUAGAAUCUAACUACAAACAACCCGGGCACCACCUGAUGGUGAUAGGCCAGGAUCUUGAACCCAAGAACUCUGACAAUAGCAUGGGCACUAAGCCACUGGCUCUGAUUCCAACCAUAUCCAGGCAGUCUCAUUGAGGGGAGCAGAUUCUGGGGAAAAGAGACAUGUUCUUCACCAUCACCAAAAUCAACUGCUAACUAAUUGUCACUAAAAAGGA